CACGUAGGGGGCAAGCGUUGUCCGGAAUCAUUGGGCGUAAAGAGCUCGUAGGCGGCUCAGUAAGUCGGGUGUGAAACCUCCAGGCUCAACCUGGAGACGCCACCCGAUACUGCUGUGGCUAGAGUCCAGUAGGGGAGUGUGGAAUUCCUGGUGUAGCGGUGAAAUGCGCAGAUAUCAGGAGGAACACCAGUGGCGAAGGCGGUGCUCUGGGCCGGAACUGACGCUGAGGAGCGAAAGCGCGGGGAGCAAACAGG
rnacentral:rRNA from 1 species